UCAGAGACACCGAACUCUCAGCUUGGGGCACAACGAGACACAUUUGUGCAGGAAUAUAUGUGCCACAUGCUGCUCUCCAGCCUGCUGUGGGUAUCCGUGGCUUUCAUCUUCUCUGGAUCCAGUGUGGCCCAGAAAGUUACUCAAGACCAACCAGCCACAUCCAUGCAAGAGGGGGCGGCAGUCACCCUAAACUGUUGGUAUGAAACAAGUGAGACCGAAUACUUUACUGUUUUUUGGUACAAGCAGCUUGCAAGUGGAGAGAUCAGUUUCCUUCUUUAUCAGGAUUCUUACGGGCAGAAUGAAAAGAAAGGCCGCUAUUCUACAAAUGUAGAGAAAGCAGCUAAAUCUAUCAGCUUCACGCUUGCACCCUUACAGCUGGAAGAUUCAGCAAAGUACUUCUGUGCUCUCUGGGAACUCACAGUGUUUGAAGUGACGGUAAAAGCUGAACAAAAACCCCAGAGUUCCAUAACAGCAUCCCGCUGCUGCAGAAGCCAAGCUGAAAUGCACACCCUCAGAUCCCAGACAAGAAAUGGCUCUCACUGUGGUUGCUUAAUCUGUGGUCUGGAUCAGAAGAUCUGA